UCCCUGGCAGUCCAGUGGUUAGGACUCUGCACUUCCACUGCUGGGGGCCCGGGUUCAAUCCCUGCUUGAGGAG
rfam:TPA: Bos taurus chromosome 17, whole genome shotgun sequence.